GAUGAACGCUAGCGGCAGGCCUAACACAUGCAAGUCGAGGGAGAGGUUCCCUUCGGGUAACCAAAACCGGCGCACGGGUGCGUAACGCGCAUACAAGCUGCCUUUCACAUAGGGAUAGCCCGACGAAAUUUGGAUAAAUACUUCAUGGUAUAUAAGAGCGGCAUCGUUUUUAUAUUAAAUCUACGGUGGUGUAUGAUGAGUUUGCGUUCUAUUAGCUCGUUGGAGAUGAAACGGCUCCACAAGGCGACGAUAGAUACGGGGUCUGAGAGGGAGCUCCCCCAUACUGGUACUGAGAUACCGACCAGAGUACUACGGGAGGCAGCAGUGAGGAAUAUUGGACAAUGGUGGGAAGACUUAUCCAGCCAGGCCGCGUGCAGGAGAGAAGUGCUGUGGAUUGUAAACUGCUUUUGUAAUUGAAAAAUAAGGAUUACGUGUACGUUAAUGACGGUACCUUACGAAUAAGCAUCGGCUAACUCCGUG
rnacentral:rRNA from 1 species